AUUGAACGCUGGCGGCGUGCUUUACACAUGCAAGUCGGACGAGUGGCGAACGGGUGAGUAACGACUGGGAACCUACCGAGUAAUGGGGGAUAACUGCCGGAAAGGGAAGCUAAUACCCCAUACCAUCGGAGGGGCCCAUGUGUGAUUAGCUGGUUGGCGGGGUAAAGGCUCACCAAGGCGACGAUCAGUAGCGGGUCUGAGAGGAUGACCAGCCACACUGGGACUGAGACACGGCCCAGACUCCUACGGGAGGCAGCAGUGGGGAAUUUUGGACAAUGGGCGCAAGCCUGAUCCAGCCAUGCCGCGUGUCUGAAGAAGGCCUUCGGGUUGUAAAGGACUUUCGUCAGGGAAGCGUUACCUGAAGAAGAAGCACCGGCUAACUACGUGCCAGCCGCCGCGGUAAUUC
rnacentral:rRNA from 1 species